CCACCGCCUUCAGUCUUUCGAGCCCUUUCGAGGAAUUCUCCCAUCGGGGCUUCUGCCCUGGAGGCCAAUCUUGAGAGGAUGUUAUGGAUAGAGAAGAGUAGGAGGGGGAAGACAGUGGCCUGCGAGUUCAGCGGCUGCCGAACUGUCACUAUGGGUUCCCACCACCUCGAAGGGGGCUCGAGGGAGAAUUUCUUCAACAACAAGGAUUUAAUAAUGGAACCA
rnacentral:lncRNA from 1 species